GACGCUAGCGGCAGGCUUAACACAUGCAAGUCGAGGGGCAGCAUGAGACGGAGAUUCGUCGAAGUCUUGAUGGGCGACCGGCGCAAGGGUGCGUAACGCGUGAGCAACUUGCCCGUUUCAGGGGGAUAACCGGUGGAAACGCCGACUAAUACCCCAUAGUAUUGGUUUGAGGCAUCUCUUACCAAUUAAAGAAUUUCGGAAACGGAUGGGCAUGCGUGCUAUUAGAUAGUUGGCGGGUAACGGCCCACCAAGUCGACGAUAGCUAGGGGAUCUGAGAGGACGGUCCCCCACACUGGUACUGAGACACGGACCAGACUCCUACGGGAGGCAGCAGUAAGGAAUAUUGGGCAAUGGAGGCAACUCUGACCCAGCCAUGCCGCGUGAAGGAUGGAGGCCCUACGGGUCGUAAACUUCUUUUGUCAGGGAAUAAAGUCGCCUACGUGUAGGCGUUUGCAGGUACCUGAAGAAUAAGCAUCGGCUAACUCCGUG
rnacentral:rRNA from 1 species